UGAUUGGUCCACAGGUGGGCUUGGAGA
rnacentral:piRNA from 1 species